UGAGGAAUAUUGGUCAAUGGGCGAGAGCCUGAACCAGCCAAGUAGCGUGAAGGAUGACUGCCCUAUGGGUUGUAAACUUCUUUUAUAAAGGAAUAAAGUCGGGUAUGGAUACCCGUUUGCAUGUACUUUAUGAAUAAGGAUCGGCUAACUCCGUGCCAGCAGCCGCGGUAAUACGGAGGAUCCGAGCGUUAUCCGGAUUUAUUGGGUUUAAAGGGAGCGUAGAUGGAUGUUUAAGUCAGUUGUGAAAGUUUGCGGCUCAACCGUAAAAUUGCAGUUGAUACUGGAUAUCUUGAGUGCAGUUGAGGCAGGCGGAAUUCGUGGUGUAGCGGUGAAAUGCUUAGAUAUCACGAAGAACUCCGAUUGCGAAGGCAGCCUGCUAAGCUGCAACUGACAUUGAGGCUCGAAAGUGUGGGUAUCAAACAGGAUUAGAUACCCUGGUAGUCCACACGGUAAACGAUGAAUACUCGCUGUUUGCGAUAUACUGCAAGCGGCCAAGCGAAAGCGUUAAGUAUUCCACCUGGGGAGUACGCCGGCAACGGUGAAACUCAAAGGAAUUGACGGGGGCCCGCACAAGCGGAGGAACAUGUGGUUUAAUUCGAUGAUACGCGAGGAACCUUACCCGGGCUUAAAUUGCAGAUGAAUUACGGUGAAAGCCGUAAGCCGCAAGGCAUCUGUGAAGGUGCUGCAUGGUUGUCGUCAGCUCGUGCCGUGAGGUGUCGGCUUAAGCGCCAUAACGAGCGCAACCCUUGUUGUCAGUUACUAACAGGUUCCGCUGAGGACUCUGACAAGACUGCCAUCGUAAGAUGUGAGGAAGGUGGGGAUGACGUCAAAUCAGCACGGCCCUUACGUCCGGGGCUACACACGUGUUACAAUGGGGGGUACAGAGGGCCGCUACCACGCGAGUGGAUGCCAAUCCCCAAAACCUCUCUCAGUUCGGACUGGAGUCUGCAACCCGACUCCACGAAGCUGGAUUCGCUAGUAAUCGCGCAUCAGCCACGGCGCGGUGAAUACGUUCCC
rnacentral:rRNA from 1 species